rnacentral:rRNA from 1 species
UACGAAGGGGGCUAGCGUUGUUCGGAAUUACUGGGCGUAAAGCGUACGUAGGCGGACUAUUAAGUCAGGGGUGAAAUCCCGGGGCUCAACCCCGGAACUGCCUUUGAUACUGGUAGUCUCGAGUCCGGAAGAGGUGAGUGGAAUUCCGAGUGUAGAGGUGAAAUUCGUAGAUAUUCGGAGGAACACCAGUGGCGAAGGCGGCUCACUGGUCCGGUACUGACGCUGAGGUGCGAAAGCGUGGGGAGCAAACAGG